rnacentral:rRNA from 1 species
UCUGUGAAGUAAAUGGCUGCAUAAAUCUGAGUGUACUAAGGUAGCGCUAUAAUUUGCCUUUUAAAUGGGGGCUGGUAUGAACGGGUUCACGUGAGAGUUGCUGUGUCAUAAAAAUUUUUUGAAAUUAACCUUUAGGUGAAGAGGCCUAAGUAAAAUUAAAGGACGACAAGACCCUAGAAGCUUUACUAAGGGUAGGUUAAUAUGUUAAUUUAUUUAAGUUUUGUUGGGGCAACAUAGUUAGAAAGUAUAACUUGUUUUUAUAAACUGACAAGUUAAAACCACAUUGGUGAAUAAGAUAAGCUACUCUAGGGAUAACAGCGUUAUUUUUUUUAAUAGUACGUAUUGUAAAAAAAGUUUGCGACCUCGAUGUUGGACUAAGGUGUCCUUAAGGUGUAGAAGUCUUAAAGGGUUGGCCUGUUCGUCCAUUAAAACCUUACA